rnacentral:tRNA from 1 species
GACCGUGUAGCUCAGUUGGCAGAGCAUUGGGCUAGUAUUCCAAAGGUCGUGGGUUCGAUUCCCACCGUGGCCA